rnacentral:tRNA from 1 species
GGAGGCGGUUCUCGUCUGGUGACGGACGCGGUCUUCAAAACCGUUGUGGCCCAGCAUCUGGGUCAGGCGGGUUCGAUUCCCGUCCGCCUCCGCCA